rnacentral:rRNA from 1 species
UACGUAGGUGGCAAGCGUUGUCCGGAUUUACUGGGCGUAAAGAGCGCGCAGGCGGUCGUUCAAGUCGCGUGUGAAAGCCCCCGGCUCAACUGGGGAGGGUCACGCGAUACUGAUCAACUGGAAGGCAGGAGAGGGUAGUGGAAUUCCCGGUGUAGUGGUGAAAUGCGUAGAUAUCGGGAGGAACACCAGUGGCGAAGGCGGCCAUCUGGACCAGCACUGACACUGAGGCACGAAAGCGUGGGGAGCAAACAGG